UACGUAGGCAGCAAGCGUUGUUCGGAAUUACUGGGCGUAAAGAGUGUGUAGGCGGUGCUCUAAGUUCGGUGUGAAAUCUCCCGGCUCAACUGGGAGGGUGCGCCGGAAACUGGGGUGCAGGAGCGCGGGAGAGGAAAGCGGAAUUCCUGGUGUAGCGGUGAAAUGCGUAGAUAUCAGGAGGAACACCGGCGGUGUAGACGGCUUUCUGGACCGUAGCUGACGCUGAGACACGAAAGCGUGGGUAGCAAACAGG
rnacentral:rRNA from 1 species